GCAGCAGACCGCCUUAUCGUUUUAUGCUGAACUCGUUUCAAUACCUGAAAAGGUUCCGAAUCAAGUUCGUAAUAAAGAGGAAAGUCCGGACACCACAGAGAAGCGUAGCGGAUAACAUCCGUCAGUUUACUCUGAAUUUAUUUCAGAGUUUUCGAGGACAAGUGCAACAGAAAGUAUGUACAGGUUAAGCUGUAGUGAAACCAGGUAAACUCUAUGCGGUGAAAUUUCAAGUAUAUCGAUAGUUAAGGGCUUCUCGUCCGUUGUCGAAGGGUAGAAAGAUUGAUCUUGUUGGUAACAAUAAGACUAGAUAAAUGAUAAGGUAACGUAAAUUCUUUGCGAAAUACGUUAACAGAAUCCGGCUUACAGGUCUGCUUUUUUU
rnacentral:RNase_P_RNA from 1 species